GAUGAACGCUAGCGGCAGGCCUAAUACAUGCAAGUCGAACGGUGUCUUCGGACAUAGUGGCGCACGGGUGCGUAACACGUAUGCAACCUACCUUACAUUGGGGGAUAGCCUUUCGAAAGGGAGAUUAAUACCGCAUAAGACAGUAGCUGGGCAUCCAGCAGCUGUUAAAGAUUUAUCGAUGUAAGCUGGGCAUGCGUCCAAUUAGCUAGUUGGUGAGGUAACGGCUUACCAAGGCAAUGAUUGGUAGGGGAACUGAGAGGUCAAUCCCCCACACUGGCACUGAGACACGGGCCAGACUCCUACGGGAGGCAGCAGUAGGGAAUAUUGGGCAAUGGACGCAAGUCUGACCCAGCCAUGCCGCGUGCAGGAUGAAGGCGUUAUGCGUUGUAAACUGCUUUUAUACAGGAAGAAACGACUCUUGCGAGAGGCAUUGACGGUACUGUAUGAAUAAGCACCGGCUAACUCCGUGCCAGCCGCCGCAGUAAUAC
rnacentral:rRNA from 1 species